AAAGUAUGCAGGACUAAGCACUGACACAACAACCACAAUAUAUUACUAUCAGGAAUGAGCGUGGAAGGGAAAUGUUCAGUUUAGUAGAUAACAUUUAGAGAUCACUCCCACAACCAGCAGUGUAUGUGAUAUAACUUUUAUAUUAACUGUGAGAACCGCUUGACACUUGGCAUACUUCUCAUGAUGUCUCAGGGUAACAGGCAACCAUUUGUUAUGGAGACAGUCAAAGCUGAGAAUAUAGCAAAGGCUGGUAAAAUAACUGUCCUAUGAUACUCUUUUUGUGAAUUCAGUGAAUAUUUAUUUUUUCAUGUUGCUGCUACAUUGGCAAUGGUUUCAUUGCCAUUUUCUACAUGGAGUAUGAACUGGUCAGUUUGACAUGCCAUCUCUGCGAACUACUGCUGUUUCAGGGACAGGUCCUUCUCUGCCAGCUCCUAGGUUUAUUGGCAAGUUAAUAGUAAAAAUAUACUAUUAAGAACAAUGUAACCUCAUGACCAUACAUAGACACAUGAUCUUAAUAGUAAAAAUACAUCUUCAUUAACUUCUUGACUUUUCAGAGAGAAAGAUCUGGGAAUUGAGCAGAAGCUCUGAAUUUAGAGUUUUGCAGUUUUGAUCCCAUCCAAGGCAUGAAGUAAAAGCUGAAGGAAUGUAGUGGAAUUUUUUUUUUAAUUUUUAAUUUGCUUGUGUAUAUAAUCCUAGAUUUUUUAAAUCGGUAUCCAUAUCUCUCUAGUAUAUUGUGAGACAAUAAUGUAAUAGAAGCAUUUCUUUUACUGCAGGGUGUUUAGAAAAAAUUGAAACAUAUAUAUUUUUUUAAAGCAGUGGAAA